rnacentral:lncRNA from 1 species
CCAGAAAUGCUGGGCUCACUGGACAAAGCCCCGUUAGAGUGAUCUAAUCCUAUCCACCAAGCAACUCCCUUCGAGGCCCUGUGCUCUUUUUUUCCCUGUUAAGUGUAGCCAGAGCUCAGGUCCCCAAAGAUGCAAGUGGCACUAUAAACAGACCCUAUCCCCCCAAAGUAAUCUGCCUGGAUAUACUUUGGCACUUUCCAUCCCAAGGAGAGGCAGAGACUGGAGCAUCCUGACACAUGGCAUAUGGGGAUGAGAUGGGGCAUCAAUCAAGAUUUGGAAGAACAAGAAGGCAUCAGUGAAGCCCUGAUCAAGUGACUCCCUCCCAAGGAGCCCUCUGGCUUCAGUUCCACCAGUCUGCUUUUUCCCUGACACACUUCCACUCUCCACCUGUGUCUGCCCUUGCUCAUUGGCUGCCAGCUAAUCUGACCCACUUAUCCCAGGAAGGACAGCUAGGACUGAGGAGACUUUGGGUCUUCUCCUAAGCAAAAUAAUUUUUAACUUAAAGAGUGGCAUCUCUGGCUCACUGUGAGAGGAGGAGAGGUCUGAUGCAUUUGUGGCAAGUCCUGUGCUCCAAAGGAGCCAGUGAAUCUUCAAAUGAGCUGCAGCCUACCUUAUUCCCACUUCUCCUGGGGUAGGAGGGCUCUACAAGGAAUUACACGAUCCAUAGAGCUUCCUCUACACCACUCCUGAAUUAGUCCCAGAAGCUGUGGCAUCCCUCAGACCUCCAUCUCAGAAUCCAUCCUGUGAGAAGCUGGUAAGAAACCCAGUAAUGACUCAGCACCAGACUCUUCUCCCCUCUCCCCACCAGCCAGAAUGAAAGGCAGAAUCGAGCAGGCUCCUCCCCAAUGGAUGGCCACAUCCUCACCACAAACUGAGUCAUGGUCACACCCUGCCUGAUGGAAAAUUACCAGGAGGAGGGAAACGGAAGGUUAAACUCCAGGGGUUUGUAAUUUCUCAACCUAAAAAUCAGAUAAAUGUUUGAGGUGAUGGAUACCCCAUUUACCCUGAUGUGAUUAUUGUUCAUUCCAUGCCUGUAUCAAAAUAACUCAAGUAACCCAUAAAUAUAUAUACCUACUAUGUACCCACAAAAAUAAAAAAUAAAAUAAAAAUAGCCAUCUACUCUGUACC